UGGGGAAUAUUGGACAAUGGGCGAAAGCCUGAUCCAGCAAUACCGCGUGUGUGAAGAAGGCCUUCGGGUUGUAAAGCACUUUAAGCAGGGAAGAAAAAAUUCAAGCUAACAUCUUGAGUCUUGACGGUACCUGAAGAAUAAGCACCGGCUAACUCUGUGCCAGCAGCCGCGGUAAUACAGAGGGUGCAAGCGUUAAUCGGAUUUACUGGGCGUAAAGCGUGUGUAGGUGGUUGGGAAAGUCAAUUGUGAAAGCCCAGGGCUUAACUCUGGAACUGCUUUUGAUACUGUCUGACUAGAAUUCGGUAGAGGGAGGCGGAACUCCAGGUGUAGCGGUGAAAUGCGUAGAUAUCUGGAAGAACACCAAUGGCGAAGGCAACCUCCUGGGCCUGAAUUGACACUGAGACACGAAAGCGUGGGGAUCAAACAGGAUUAGAUACCCCGGUAGUCC
rnacentral:rRNA from 1 species